rnacentral:rRNA from 1 species
CCCUUAGAUGUUUUGGGCCGCACGCGCGCUACACUGAUGCAUUCAACAAGCCUAGCCUUGACCGAGAGGUCCGGGUAAUCUUUGAAACUGCAUCGUGAUGGGGCUAGAUUAUUGCAAUUAUUAAUCUUCAACGAGGAAUGCCUAGUAAGCGUGAUUCAUCAAAUCGCGUUGAUUACGUCCCUGCCCUUUGUACACACCGCCCGUCGCUCCUACCGAUUGAAUGUGUUGGUGAGGAGCUCGGAUUGGCAGCAGUUGGUGGUUCGCCACCGGCUAUUGCUGAGAAGUCCUCCAAACCGCCCCAUUUAGAGGAAGGAGAAGUCGUANCA